GCCGGUUCAGGGUGUACGCCGCCUACUGCCCGAAGACAGCUGGGAUAGGCUCUGGUAACCCUUAUGAGGAAAAGCGAAUUAGAAAAAAGUUGAAUAGAACUGUAACUUUUAUACUUUGGAAUCUAAACGGGGGCUGCAGGUGCCCUACCAAUUUUUGAAAUAUAAAAACACCACUAAUUCCACAGCAACUGAGAGUAAUCUAUCAAUUAUGAUGCUAUCAAGUCAAGAAUAGGAAUACGACAUGCUGAACAAAGGAUGACAGUCGAGUAUUUUGUGGUCUCUGUCCCCUUGGCAUGUUACUUUUCAUUCCAAGAAGAUGAGCUCUGUUUAUGAGAAAGUGUUUUAUGCGCUCUGCCUAUUUCAUCCCUGUUGUUGCACAACAGUGAGCCAAUCAACUGACUGCUAUGUGCAGCUCCACCCUCAGAGCAAUUCCACUGUGGCUGGUGCCCAAACUGAAGAUGGCAAAGUUUCAUUGUUACAAUGGAGAUGUAACACACACACACACACACACACACACACACACACACACACACACACAGCGAAGGUGAAAAAAUAUAUCGGACUACAUUCCCUUAAAAAGAUGAACAUGACGCCUAUUAAGCAAACGGUGAGCCUGAUGCGCUUCAUAAUCAAAGGUUCAACACUGUUUUGCUGUAUAGCUGCUACUCUGCAGGUCAAAGUGUUCCAGCCUCAAUAAUUCGCCGCCAUCAGCAAUAUUUCAGCCGGCAAACAAGCUCCUGCAUUCCCCACAUGGCUUCUCUACAAACACAAUGAGUUCAAACAAUCCACAAUGUGAAUCUCCUCGGCUCGGUUUGGAGUUUUCUUUUGUCUCCUGAUUUGGAAGCCUCCAACCACAUUUAUCUCCAGAGAUUUGACAGGGACUAUCUCACAACCCAAGUGCUUAUUGAUCACCUUGUUGUGCACUCGCUCUCUCACCCUGAGCUCGGAUCACACAAACAGCCCUCCGAGCACAGGCUGCAACACUUUACGGGAACUCACAACAACAUGCACCCUCCUUGACUAGAAAAUCAGGAGUGCGAACACAAGAUUCCGACAUUCCUGUCUUCCUGUCUAAACAAACGCACGGCACUGACGUCCGCGAAGACUAAAACAGCAAUGAGAAGUACAUCUCAGGAACGAUCACGGAUUGUACAAGUUAAUACAAAUCAAUCCUCUGUUUGCCAAAUGAAUGAUACACAUUCUUUCCAGGAGGAAUGCUGCCAGUCUCCCCGACUCUAGUAGCCAUUAAGGGGCAGACAGGAGGAGAAUGACGGCCCCAGAGAGUGGAGCAUGAAGAAACUCGAUCCGGGCCGGGACUGCUGCACUCGCGCUAUAAGCGGAGCCAAUGUCAAGCGGGCGUGGGCCCACAACAAAGAAUAAUAAUAAAAAAGUGUAAAAAGCAACAAC